CCUACGGCUGGCAGCAGUGGGGAAUAUUGCACAAUGGGGGGAACCCUGAUGCAGCGACGCCGCGUGAGUGAUGAAGUAUUUCGGUAUGUAAAGCUCUAUCAGCAGGGAAGAAACUGACGGUACCUGACUUAGAAGCCCCGGCUAACUACGUGCCAGCAGCCGCGGUAAUACGGAGGGGGCAAGCGUUAUACGGAUUUAUUGGGUGGAAAUGGAGCGUAGACGGCUGUGCAAGUCUGGAGUGAAAGGCGUGGGCUCAACCUGUGGACUGCGUUGGAAACCGUACGGCUGGAGUGCCGGAGAGGCAAGUGGAAGUCCUAGUGUAGCGGUGAAAUGCGUAGAUAUUAGGAGGAACACCAGUGGCGAAGGCGGCUUGCUGGACGAUGACUGACGUUGAGGCUCGAAAGCGUGGGGAGCAAACAGGAUUAGAUACCCCAGUAGUC
rnacentral:rRNA from 1 species